AGACCCAACAACUAGCCCACCCCCCUUAAAACAACAAACAACAUCCAUAACCCCUAAAACCCCAUUAUAACUAAACAAACCAUUUUUCCCCCUUAGUACGGGCGACGGAAAAG
rnacentral:rRNA from 1 species